GAUGAACGCUAGCGACGGGCCUAACACAUGCAAGUCGAGGGGCAGCACAUGCGUAGCAAUACAAUGGUGGCGACCGGCGCACGGGUGAGUAACACGUAUGCAACCUACCUGUAAGAGGGGAAUAACCCGGAGAAAUUCGGACUAACACCGCAUAAUACCUCGAAGCUGCAUGGCUUUGAGGUUAAAUAUUUAUAGCUUACAGAUGGGCAUGCGUAACAUUAGAUAGUUGGUGAGGUAACGGCUCACCAAGUCAACGAUGUUUAGGGGUUCCGAGAGGAAGGUCCCCCACACGGGUACUGAGACACGGACCAGACUCGUACGGGAGGCAGCAGUGAGGAAUAUUGGUCAAUGGGCGAGAGCCUGAACCAGCCAAGUCGCGUGAAGGAAGAAGGUUCUAUGGAUUGUAAACUUCUUUUGUAAGGGAAUAAAAAAGCUUACGUGUAGGCUAUUGUAUGUACUUUACGAAUAAGGAUCGGCUAACUCCGUGCCAGCCGCCGCGGUAA
rnacentral:rRNA from 1 species